ensembl:lncRNA
AAGUUGUGCCAGAAGCUGAGAAGAAUUGCGCUGUGAGAACAGUGUGAAUACACACCAGUUGUGCUCCUGGCUGUUGACGUGUGGACACCUGCUACAGCGCCACAUCCAUGUCAGAGGAUCAGCAUCUACCAGGUAUUGCCAGAUCGUCUUGUCCCGUACAGUCGUUUCCAGCGGUCUAUGUGUUCAUCAGCCAGUCUACCUGUCCUUCUAUUCCCCGGUUACGACCCUUGCCUGUUUUCCGGAUUACGAGCCUGCCUGCCCUCUCCUGUACCUUCGAC